rnacentral:rRNA from 1 species
UACGAAGGGGGCUAGCGUUGUUCGGAAUUACUGGGCGUAAAGCGCGCGCAGGCGGCUAUCCAAGUCAGUGGUGAAAGCCCGGAGCUCAACUCCGGAACUGCCAUUGAAACUGUUUAGCUUGAGGAUGAGAGAGGUGAGUGGAAUUCCCAGUGUAGAGGUGAAAUUCGUAGAUAUUAGGAAGAACACCAGUGGCGAAGGCGGCUCACUGGCCCGGUACUGACGCUGAGGCGCGAAAGCGUGGGGAGCAAACAGG